AAAGCUGAGAGCUGCUAGGAAUGUGUUUUACAGAGCUGGGGAAGGAAAGUAGUUCACAAGAGGAAAAUAAUUCUGAGAUCUCCAGUGGAUGGUGGGAUGGGAUAGAUACAUACCACUGGCUCCAAAGUCCUGCAGGCUUUUUUGACCUCUUCAGAUCUUCAUGGAUGUUUUCUCCUGUGAAGAUUAACCAUGGAGAUGGUUAACCUGCAAGCACUGUACCAGUCAAACCUGUCAUUGCUGGCUAUGGAGUGCAACACCAAGCUUCUUGCUCUGGGGGGUCAAGGACUGGCUGCUCCCACUGGGGGUUUGGGUCAGCGCUGGUGAAUUUUGAGAUACUGGACACAGAGAGUUAACUGUAUUUCCAGCUGAGAUAUUUUUAUUAUUGGUUCUAUGUUGUUUCUUAUGUUUAAUGAUUCAGAGGAAGCAGAGGUGUUGAUCUGAUGGGGAACCUAGAAAGCUGUUUGGUAAUAACAUCCAGAUGUUUCCAUAGCACAUCUGCUUAAGCCACCGUUGAAGUCGAUGCCUUCAGCAGUGCUGGUGUAUUCACUGUUUGAAUGAUGAAACUUGAUGGGCUGCAAUUCAGCUUGGAUUACAGUAUUUCAGAAGACUUUCUGAACUUGCCAGGCAACCCUCCCCCUCGACUUUGGGGACAGAGGAGCUUAAAUUUAUAUUUCCAGUGUCACACAAGGAGAUAGAAUGGAGUUGGCUGCUUUACACAAGUAAUGAAAAUCAAUGCUGUGUUGCUCUUGGAAGGAGUGCUCAAAAGAAGAAAAGCCUGGCAUAUACAUCUUGGUUUAGAGAAAGAUUUUACCUGGGAAGAGUGUGCCCAGGAGAAGGAGAUGAGGUGAUGCUGAAAGCCAGACUGGGACUGAAGCUUUGUAACAAGAUUUAUCUGGAAAGUAUGACUGACAGGAGCAGCUUACUCACCAUUAGAUAAGUAUUGCAGAUGACUCAUGCUGGAGUAUUGAUAGCUGUGCUGCUGAGAUGGAUAUCCUGUUUUAUAACAGCUGUAGUAUGAUGCCAAGAGCUAGGAACCUUAAUUUCACUAUCCUUGCUUUUCUGUGGAUGUGCUUUGGGUCUCUGGCACCUUUUCUCCUUGGUUUGUCCAUCUAAAGAGUUCACAGGGGAGGUUUUGCUUCCCUCAGUGGGUUGUAGGUUAUGGGGCCA
rnacentral:lncRNA from 1 species